rnacentral:rRNA from 1 species
GAAACAUCUAAGUACCCGGAGGAAGAGAAAACAAUAGUGAUUCCGAUAGUAGCGGCGAGCGAAAUCGGAUCGGCCCAAACCGUUGUUGUUUAGGCAAUGACGGGGUUGUAGGACCACAAUGUUCUUUGCGCGACGAACCGGAAGCAGUUGGAAAGCUGCACGAUAUGGGUGACAGUCCCGUACGGGCAAGGAGCGUUAAAGAUAGUGGUAUCCUGAGUAGCGCGGGGCACGUGAAACCCUGUGUGAAUCCGGCGGGACCAUCCGCCAAGGCUAAAUACUCCUGAGAGACCGAUAGUGAACCAGUACCGUG